rnacentral:rRNA from 1 species
CAUAGGUUAAUGAGGCGAACCGGGGGAACUGAAACAUCUAAGUACCCCGAGGAAAAGAAAUCAACCGAGAUUCCCCCAGUAGCGGCGAGCGAACGGGGAGGAGCCCAGAGCCUGAAUCAGUGUGUGUGUUAGUGGAAGCGUCUGGAAAGGCGCGCGAUACAGGGUGACAGCCCCGUACACAAAAAUGCACAUACUGUGAGCUCGAUGAGUAGGGCGGGACACGUGGUAUCCUGUCUGAAUAUGGGGGGACCAUCCUCCAAGGCUAAAUACUCCUGACUGACCGAUAGUGAACCAGUACCGUGAGGGAAAGGCGAAAAGAACCCCGGCGAGGGGAGUGAAAAAGAACCUGAAACCGUGUACGUACAAGCAGUGGGAGCCUCUUAAUGGGGUGACUGCGUACCUUUUGUAUAAUGGGUCAGCGACUUAUAUUCUGUAGCAAGGUUAACCGAAUAGGGGAGCCGAAGGGAAACCGAGUCUUAACUGGGCGUUAAGUU